ensembl:lncRNA
GCUGGCUCUUCUGAAAGGAGGGGACAAAUGACAGUCUAUCAAACAGCAUGCUUUCAAAGAAAGAGGAGACCUGUUCCAGAACUGCAGCUUCAGAGGCUCUUUUAACAACAUAAGCAAAACUGGGAGCCAACCUCAUUUUUUCCCCCUGGCUGUAAUGAACACACAGCUUAGCUACAGCAGUCUCCCACCCCCAGUAAAAUGAACUGGAAUUACAAAGCUUAUGAAGAAAACAAGUGUCAUUUUUUUCCCUCUAUCUUUUUCCUUUCUUUUUAAUUGUUUUUUUUUUUUCUUUCUUUCCUAUUACUUUCUCUUUUUUUGGAUCGAAAGUAAGACCAAAUAAUGUCAAAAGGGAAAGGAGAGGGGUUCUGAGAUCAGUCUCAAAUCUCAGAAGAAGACUGCGGGAAAUGGUGCCAAAUUGAAGUGUUUAUCCAUGGAGAGAGAAAGGGGAGAUCUGCCUUUUGAAGCAGAAAAAGCAACUGCUGCAAACCUGCAGUGUGUUUAAUGGAAGAGGACGUCUGGUUUCCAUGUAACGCUAAUAAAGUAUUCAGUACACUGGCAGGUGGAGCCUGGAAUGGAUGUGGGUGGUGAGGGUUGUGGGAAGCAGAGAGGAGACAGAGGGGUGUUAGAGGAUGGCCAGCUUGUGAUAGCAGGGAAAUCAAAGCCUUGUAAAGAGGAAAAUAUUUUAAAUGUUAUUUCAGUGUUUCAUCAAAAAAGAUUUUGCAAAGCUAUUUGUGACUGACUCUUUGGAGAUCUUGGUAUAAGGUUAUACUUAUACAUGUUUAAAGCAAUUCCAAGAUUUAUCCAUUUAGAAGAAAAACUGUAAAACUUAAAAAAAAAAUGAAAAAGAAAAAAUGUAUUUUCUCCUUGUCUUCAUAAAAGAAGGCAGAAGAAAAAAAAAACAAAAAACAGAGCAAGCAAAUAACCUUUUUUUUUUUUUUUUCCUCCCUGAAAAUAACCCUAGAAACACCCAGCACAGCAUAAAAAAUCAUCAAAUGCUUUUGAACUAAAAGCCAUUCUUUUCUUGGGAAAACAUGUAUAGACAAAAAUACCCAAGCUGCCAAACUGAUAAAUACAAUUGACCUGCUGUGAUGUUAACUUAGAGCUCAUCGAUUUCAUUUCUGAUGUGCCACAGGAACAUUCAUUUGCACUGAGUGCUAGCUAAGACCUUUUCAUUAGUGCUGCAGCAGCUGGAUUGUAGAUUUGGUCAAUGCGGAUGGGUAUGGAAUGACUUGGGCUCUUCUACCCCAGCUUUUGUCUGGCCAGAUGUGAGCUUAUGACAAUAGGCUGUUCCUGUGAAAGGCCAGGCAUGGUAGCCCAGGUGCAGUGCUGGAGUAGAGCUGGGGUCAAGCUUUGUGUUAUGAUUGGAUACUGAAAAAAAAGAAAUAGGUAAUUUGAGUUAAACCUGGUUAUUUACUCAAAACAAGUUCUCAUAAAGCCAUUUUCGAGAUUGUAUCAGAGCAUCUUCCAGUAAUGAAUUAUUCAGUUUAAUCAAUUUUUCACUCUCUCCUGCAUGAUUAGGAAACUGGGAUCUGGGACACAAAAUUGAGAGUGAUCCAUGGAGCAUCUCUAACUUUGAUAAGACCAGCCCUACUGGGAAUUUUCUUCAUUUAAAAACUGGGAGAUAAAGGGAUUGAGGCCGAUGCUGCUGUAGCUGAAAAGGGCGUCUCAUUCCAUACAGUUCAUAGAGACGCUGAGUCCAUUCCAUCCAUUCCAUAUGUCCUACAUCUCUGUGCUGGCAGUGAGAUAGUGAGGUCUGGGAAUGGGGAAUACUGGGAAUACUACUCUUCUCUUCUCUUCUCUUCUCUUCUCUUCUCUUCUCUUCUCUUCUCUUCUCUUCUCUUCUCUUCUCUUCUCUUCUCUUCUCUUCUCUUCUCUUCUCUUCUCUUCUCUUCUCUCUUCUUUUACUUUAUUUUCUUUCUCCUCCCCAGAUAAAAUUGUCUACCUGCAAAAUGAAUCAUCUGAAUUUAGGUUUUCCUUUAAAGUUUUAUGGGCUGCAUAUUUGCUCCCCAUCCUUUCUUUAAUUUUGCUAGUGAGGAGCCUGUCUGUACCAUGCAACUCACAACUGCCUGGGAGACCUGUGACAAGUAAAUUUCAGUCUCUCAGUAGAGCUGGUAUUCUUAGAGCUGCAGGAGCAGUCAUCAUGAAGGGGAAAGCUGUGAACGCCAAUAAAUUAUUGAAGAAAGCAGGAGAAAUAUUUCCUUCUGUUGACACAUUGGCAUUCACCUUUGGGAAUGUAAUCAUGGGAAAGGUAGGCAAUCUUUUGUCAUAGAGAUCUUUUGCUCGGAGAAUUCAGUCUUUUUAAAACCUUAGGAGGGAGCCUGCAAGCCCUCAACAUGGAAGGGGUAUUCAAGUUAUAGGAUGUCUUCAGGCAGACAAGUUUCUCAGAAAUGACAGUGAAACUGAAUUAAGUCUGCAACACAUUAAAAUUACUUGGUGAUAAAAAGGGAGGUUAGUGAGGUAGAGAGUAAACCCCUCCAGCUCCCUGACACCCCGGGACAGUUUCCAAUCAGGAGGGGGAUUGUUUUCUACGAACAAAACAAGACAGCAUUAGUACAAGACAGAGCAUAAACAUGGCAAAAUUUAGAGUUCAGAGAAGAACAGAAGAUGGAAGCCAACCUCUUGGUGUAAGGCAGAGGAAACAGCAAGGACAUGCCUACAAGAUCAACAUUUCCUUUUGGGUUGUGACAUGGGGGAAGGACUGGGGCAGUUCUUGAGAGCUGGGGUGGUGCAGGAGUGGUUUCUUCUAGCCUGAAAAUCUGAUUCUACCUCUUUCUUCCAUCACUGAAACAAAGGAACCUACCCAGGCCUGUGAACAUAGAUUUGUCUGUCUGAAUUUCAAAUUUUGCUUGGAAAGCCAUCAAAUUAGCACUGAUGUUUUAUUCCAACAUCAGAAACGGCAGGGAAAAAUACCCAGGAGCUCGUUGGAUUUAAAUCCACAGAAUCAUCUCCAGUUUUGUUUAGACGAGAUGAGUGAAUAACCCCCCUUCUCAGCAUCAUAUUUGGCUCAAAUCACCAAUUUACUGGUUUACAAAAAUCUAAAACUGCCCCUCCGGCAAAUUAAGGGAUUACGUCAAUCACUCAAGUCCAUUCUACCUGACAACAGCACGCAGCAACAGGGCAAAAGGUUUGAUGCUCUGCUGGAAUGUGAUAAGGAGAAAAUGCCAAAUGACACAUAGGCAAAGUUAUUACCAGCGAGAUGAAGACAAACUGGAGGGAGUUCAGAGAAGUGCAACAAAAAUGAUUAGAGAGCUGGAGGGGUUGAUUUAGAAGGAAAGUUUACAAGAACAACUGGCAAUAUGCACAGCAGGGCUGAGCAACAUCUGAGGGGGGAGAGAGAGCCAGUUGCAAACAUCUGAACAGUGCAAACACCCAGGGAGGAACACAAUUACCCAAGGGGGAAAUAACUAAGAUAAUAGGUUGAAAUUAGGAGAAAGAGAUAAACAUCAAAAUAACUUCUCAGUGAAAAGACUGUGGAAUAACCUACUAUGGGAAGACAUGGAAGUCCAAGCCAAGCAGGCUAUAAAUUCCUUCCCACAGCCCCUGCAGAUACAAAAGUCAGCUACAGAUAACUUUGAAAACAAUUUCUAAGCAACAAAUGUCAGAACUUCUGCAAGAAACCAGGUGUGAGAAGGUGUUUAGAACUGAUGAUUUCCAGAUAACUCUACUAGUUUUCUUGCUGUUCAAAUGCACAAUGGGGAGGAGUUUGAAAAGGCUCUUGCUUUCUGUUUCCUGGGUGAAAUGACUGCACUGGAAACCUCCAAAAGUGCAGUUGUGGCAAUCAAGACAUUGCCCACUCAUCGACAAAUAGUUUUCCAGUUGAGAUAGUUGGUUUAAAUCUCCCUCAGGUUUGGAGUGACUGGAAAUCAACACCAGAUAAUGGCUGUUUGGUAGUAGAUGUGACAUGAGUUAAUGCACUCACUUGAAUUUCUAGUGGAUAUUGGACAUGUGCUCACAUUACAAAUGCUUUGAACAGCAUGAUCAGCAUUAAAUUAACAUCUACACUGACAAUCUUGCCAAAGAAAUCCAGAAGGAGAUGGACAUUAGUAAUGAACUGCACGUUCACCUUUGGAGUGAAGUCAUUAGCAAGGUAAACUUUACCUCAUGGGCUCUGAACCUCGUCUCCUCUACUGUAUUUCCUAACUCCUGGAUGGGAUGUCAAUUUGCAAAGCAGAUUAUUUAGCAUAUUUCCUCAGCAUACAAGAAACUGCUACCAUUAAAGAAAAUUUACAUUACAGAACGGUUGUUUAUUAGACAUUAUCAUUAAUUAAUAAGUAUUUUUAGCUGCUUCUUGACAAGGAAGGUGCAUGGCAUGCAUGUGACACAAUUCAUCUGGUUUUAUAGAAGGUAGUAAUAGCUGCAAUGAGUAUAGAAGUAGCACAGGACUCUCUUGCAGAGUGGUAUUUGAAGGUCUGGCUAAGCAAAGCCACUUAGGCCAUUUCUAGUUUAUUGUUGUUACACUUUGGUAUGGCUUUCUAGUAAUUUAUAGGGGUGUUUGUUGAGUUCAUGAGCUCUUGAGACCUGCAUCCAAUAAAAUAGUGAUGUACUUUCUCUUGACUGAAGGCAGAAGCAUAUAUCAUUGCAUGCAGUGGGUCUGAUAUCAUUUUAUGCUGGAUGGGGAAAAAGGCUGUGAAGCUCUGUAGCUUAGUAAAAGAAAAGGAAAAGUAAAGAAAAAUGGCAAUAAAGGACAUCACUUUGUGCAGGGCACUAUUUUGUUUCUAGAUUCUUUAGCUUCAUACAUUAGCAAGCCGGGAAUUUGGUGGGUUAAUCCUACCCUUGACUGUAAGAUCCCAUAUUAGUUAACGAUCUCUUUCUGAACUUGAUAUAAAGCCACAUAAGUUAAUGAGCAGCUAUUAGACAAACCAUUAUUUAUAUACUUAUAUAUAUUCCCAUAAUUUUUCAUCUGUAUUUUAACUUUGCCAUGACAUAGGGUGCUAAUCCUUCAUGCUCUUGCAGUGUUAACAACAAUAUCUUUUCCCAUUUAAUUAAUAUUUUUAAAAGUUGCCUCAUCCUCCACCAUUAACAUCUUCCCCUCUAUCAAACAAUAAGUGAUAUGGAUCAGUCUUAGUCGAUUAGCUGUAAAGAAGAGGAAAAAUCACUAAGGCAGCAAGGCUUAUUCUUAAAGUAACUUCUCUCUUUCCACCUACUUGUCUAUUCUUAGACUACUGUAAACAUAAAAUGGUCAGGCAGCACAUAGAACAGUCCUAUCAUGUAGGAAAAAAAAAAAAAAUUGGUUCCUAGUGUGACUGUGCACCUUUGCAUAAAAUAAAUAAAUAAAAAUCUCUGUCAUGGAAAAGACAAAGGUAGCAUUGCUUUUACUGGUUUUCUCAGAAAUCUAACUUCCCUUCCCUUCCCUUCCCUUCCCUUCCCUUCCCUUCCCUUCCCUUCCCUCCCCUCCCCUUCCCUUCC